rnacentral:rRNA from 1 species
UACGGGGGGGGCAAGCGUUGUUCGGAAUUACUGGGCGUAAAGGGCGCGUAGGCGGCCUUCUAAGUCGAACGUGAAAUCCCCGGGCUCAACCCGGGAACUGCAUCCGAUACUGGCGGGCUUGAAUCCGGGAGAGGGAUGUGGAAUUCCAGGUGUAGCGGUGAAAUGCGUAGAUAUCUGGAGGAACACCGGUGGCGAAGGCGGCAUCCUGGACCGGUAUUGACGCUGAGGCGCGAAAGCUAGGGGAGCAAACGGG